UACAUGCAAGUCGAACGAACGGAGGAAGAGCUUGCUCUUCCAAAGUUAGUGGCGGACGGGUGAGUAACACGUGGGCAACCUGCCUGUAAGUUGGGGAUAACUCCGGGAAACCGGGGCUAAUACCGAAUGAUAAAGUGUGGCGCAUGCCACGCUUUUGAAAGAUGGUUUCGGCUAUCGCUUACAGAUGGGCCCGCGGUGCAUUAGCUAGUUGGUAGGGUAAUGGCCUACCAAGGCAACGAUGCAUAGCCGACCUGAGAGGGUGAUCGGCCACACUGGGACUGAGACACGGCCCAGACUCCUACGGGAGGCAGCAGUAGGGAAUCUUCCGCAAUGGACGAAAGUCUGACGGAGCAACGCCGCGUGUAUGAAGAAGGUUUUCGGAUCGUAAAGUACUGUUGUUAGAGAAGAACAAGGAUAAGAGUAACUGCUUGUCCCUUGACGGUAUCUAACCAGAAAGCCACGGCUAACUACGUGCCAGCAGCCGCGGUAAUACGUAGGUGGCAAGCGUUGUCCGGAUUUAUUGGGCGUAAAGCGCGCGCAGGCGGUCUUUUAAGUCUGAUGUGAAAGCCCCCGGCUUAACCGGGGAGGGUCAUUGGAAACUGGAAGACUGGAGUGCAGAGAGGAGAGUGGGAUUC
rnacentral:rRNA from 1 species